CGACAAUCGUCCCAUCAAAGGGAGCUGCUGUUAUGGAUUUCUCACUGCUCUGCACUACCAAAAAACUACAGGAGUUUUUAGGCAUGUAGAUCACCUUAAACUGGCCCACCAAGACUUGGAGUAUUCUGCUGGUGUCACAACAUGACCAUGAGUAUGUCAACGCACCGCUGGACGAGCCAGCGACACUCGUGGUUCCUCCACUCAUGAAACACAAUUCCCAAGCCGGGUGGAUCAUCCGAACUCCAGAUGGUAUAGCCUCCACAAAGCCCUGAUCUCAUCAUCGAGGCUGUCUGGGAUUACCUGGAGAAGCAGAUGCAAGCGAGACAGCCAAAGUCCGCAGAACUGUGGCAGGCAAGUUCUCCAAGAUACUUGGAACAACCUACCAACCAAUUUUCUUAUAAAAACUGCACAACACUGUACCUAAGAGUAUUAAUGCAAUUUUAAAGGAAAAGGGUGAUUGCAAUAAAUAUCAAUUUGAUUUAGUUUUAUUGCUGUUUACUGCUUUUUAUAGUAAUUAUUUUGAUAUUUAGAAACUUUACAUUUCAUUAUUCUGAAAGCACCUUUGCUUUACAGAAUUGUUUUACAUCUGCCUAAAACUUUUCUAUCACUAUACAUAAGACAAUUCAAUGUGAGUCAAUCAACUCAAUGGGAAAGUAUCAAAUGACUGAAAACAAACUUGACCCAGUCAACAAAUACUUGGUUCCCUACAGUUACAGUCACCCUUGCUAUUAUGAAAUCACAUAUGACUCUGGUACACAUAUCCAAAGUACAAUUUAUAUUGGAUAUGAAUGUAGGAGAUCUGAUUAGUAAAUUUGUGGAAUACAUGAACUUGAUUGGUGUUGUAGAUAUCAAAGAUGAUUUUCUAAGGCUACGGCAAGAUAUAAAUCAAAUUAAAAAUUGGGUAGAACAUUGGCAGAUGCAAUGUAAUCUCAGCAAGUGAGAAAGUCAAAUGGUAGGGCAGUAACGGAUGUUAAUAAACAAGAGACUUUUUUGGGUCCAAGCCACAGAGGUUGAGGUUGCUGAAAAAGGCAUAUGGUAUGAUUACUUUCAGAGGUAGAGGCAUAGAAUACAAGAGUAAAAACAUUCUUUUCAACUUUACAAACACCAGCUAGAUCACAUUUGGACUGCUGUGCCAUUCCAGUCACAUUAUAGGAUGGAUGUGAUUGCACUGGAGACAGUGCAAAGGAGAUUCACCAAAAUCCUGUCUGGAAAGGAGGACUUUAUUGGAAAAGACUGGGCUUGUUUUCCUGCAGUAAAGCAGGUUGAGAGGUUACCUGGUGCACUUAAAAUUAUCAGAGAGAUAUAUAUAUACACCAUCUAAAUCUUUCCCCCCAUGGUUGGUGGAUGAAAAUCAAAAGGGCAUAGGUUUAAGAUAUGAGGAACUUGUCCCAAAGGGAAUACUUUGUCUUUGUUUACUAUUUAUUGUAAUGCUAGCACUGUUUUUGUGCACUUUAUGAGGUCCUGUGUAGGUCUGUAGUCUAAUGUAGCUCUCCCUGUGUUGUUUUUUUUUAACGUAGUUCAGUCUAGUUUUUGAUUUGUGUCAUGUAACACCAUGGUCCUGAAAAACGUUGUCUCAUUUUUACUAUGCACUGUACCAGCAGUUAUGGUCGAAAUGACAAAAAAAGUGACUUGACUUGAUACGAGGGGUAAAUUUGUUUUCUUUUUACAAAGGGAGUGGUUGAUAUCUGGAAUACUCUAGCAAAGUGGUCAUGGCAGUGGAAUCAGAUACAUUUAAACACCUGAGAUGUUUAGACAUACACUUAAAUAAACAGACAUGACUGGAUAUGGCUCUAAAGUAGACAAAUAGGAUUAGAGAACAUGGACAAAAGACAGGCAUGAUGUGUCAGGCUGAAGGGCUCAAUUUCCUGUUACAUGACCCUUUGUCCACUGCCAGGAGCAAGCCUACAAAAAACUUUGUAUAUGUAUACUCUACCCAUUCUGAUCUGCAAUGUUGCUUCCUGCAGUAACAAUACUUCAUUACAUCUAAAUUUCACAAUGGAAUUCCUUAUGUAAAAUAUUAAUUUAAAAAAUUCCAGUGUAACCAUUGUUUUGUUUGGAGAAGCAAGUUAUUUAAAUAUGUUUUACGAAUGCCAAUAUUUCCCCUCAAUUUUGCUUUCUACUUUACAAUAGAAUAUCUAAGUUACAUUUAACUAUCACUUUUUCUUAACAAAAGGGAAUAAAUUUAUUCAAUGAAUUGAUUUUUAAUGGUUUAAUUCAAAAUAACUCUGGCAAGACUCAGAGGCAGAGGGUUGGAUUGGUACUAAAUACUUUUUACACUUUGAUAAAUAAUUUGAAUGUUUAGUCCAAACAGCGUAAUUUGUUUUGUGUCCUAUUUUCCAGAAUGAUUUUAUACUGCUUAGUGCACAUCAUUGCUAUUUUCUUCCAAGUGCUUUUAACACAAAUAAAUACUUGAACAUUUUUAUUUGGUAUUGUUUCCAUGUGACUGCAACUGUUGUCUUUGGUGUUAGAGGCUGCAGGUUUGAAAGUCACUGGGUAGUAUAGAUGUGCAAGUGCAUUGCAUUUAGGUGAUAAUAUACAUUGUCAGAGGAUACAAGUGUUUGAGCUAUGUAAGAGGUACCAGCUGGCUGCUUUGUUGUGGAUGACGCCAAGCUUCUUGAAUGCUCAUCCAGUCAAUUAGAAAAUGUUUCAACGCACAUCAGACGUGCAUCUUGUAAUGAUGGAAAAGACUUGGGAGAUUCAGAAGGUGACUUUCCCACCAGAUACCUAUUCUCUAACUUGUUCUUGCAAACACAGUAUUUGGGCAACAGUGAUGAAUUCAGUGACAUUGAAGGUAGGGAGUGAAGUAGUUUUACUAUUAAGUGUUAAGGAUGGAUGGUUAGACACUUCCUUUUGAAGAUGUGCAGAGGAUAUGGCGAGUCUACAGACAGAUUUAGAUAGUUCAGUGAGUGGGCAAGUCUGGCAGAUGGAAAAUGUCAUUCACUUUUGAAGGAAAAAUGGAAGAGCAGACUUAUCCAAAUGGUAACAGAUUGCAGCAUGCUGCAGUGCAGAAGGACUUGGGAGUGCUUGUGCAUUAAUUGCAAAAAGUUGAUUUUCAGGUGCAGCAGGCUAUCAAGAAGGCAAAUGGAAUGUUGGCCUUCUUCGCUAGAGAGAUUGAAUUUAAGAGCAGGAAGGCUAUGCUGCAAUUGUAUGGGGUAUUGGUGAGACCGCAUCUGGAGUACUGCAUGCAGUUCUGGUCUCCUUACUUGAGGAUGGAUAUACUGGCUUUGGAGGCAGUGCAGGAGGUUCACCAGGUUGAUUCCAGAAUGAAGGGGUUAAGACUACCAGGAGAGAUUGACUCGCCUGAGACUGUACUUGCUGGAAUUCAGAAGAAUAAGAGGAGAUCUUGUAGAAGCAUAUACAAUUAUGAAAGGGACAGAUAAGAUAGAGGCAGGAAAGUUGUUUCCACUGGAGGGUGAGACUAGAACUAGGGAACAUAGCCUCAAGAUUUGGGAGAGUUAAUUGCUAUCUUGAUGUCAAAGGAAGUCAUUCUCACCUCACCUCUGGAAAUUAGUUACUUCGGUCAUCUUUACCACAAUUUAUGGGAAAACUGCUUGUUAACUAAAUUCAUUUCAGUCAGCUGGUCUCUCUCUAAAAUAGAUUUAAUAGAAAAGCAAUUUUAUUUAAUCUCUUCACAUUUUUCCCCUCAAACCACUUUUAAAUAACAAAAAAAAACAGUAUAUAGAAGGUCUGAGGGGUGAUUAUUAUAGGUCACUCAAAAUCACUCAUCAUCAAUUUCAGGUCUUUGUAUGAUAAACAGAGUUCAGAAAUUAUAAAAUGCACACCUAAACACUAAUGGCCGAAGAAAAAAUACCUAUUGUUGAUUAGAUGAUACUUUCCGAUUCUAUUUUGUAAACCAAGGUGCAUGGACACUUUAUCACAAGCAGGAUACAGUAUCCAGUUUUUA